rnacentral:rRNA from 1 species
AACGAACGCUGGCGGCGUGCCUAAGACAUGCAAGUCGAACGGUAAGGCACCUUCGGGUGUACACGAGUGGCGCACGGGUGAGUAACGCGUGGGUAAUCUGCCCCCAGGUCGGGGAUAACUUCGGGAAACUGGAGCUAAUACCGGAUGAGCCCACGAGGUCUUCGGGCCUCGCGGGGAAGGUGGCCUCUCCUUGGAAGCUACCGCCAGGGGAUGAGCCCGCGUCCCAUUAGCUUGUUGGUGAGGUAACGGCUCACCAAGGCGACGAUGGGUAGCUGGUCUGAGAGGAUGAUCAGCCACACUGGAACUGAGACACGGUCCAGACUCCUACGGGAGGCAGCAGUCGGGAAUUUUGGGCAAUGGGCGCAAGCCUGACCCAGCAACGCCGCGUGAGGGAUGAAGGCCCUCGGGUCGUAAACCUCUGUCGGGAGGGAAGAACGUUCUCCGGCUGAAUAAUCCGGGGAGCUGACGGUACCUCCAAAGGAAGCACCGGCUAACUCCGUG